rnacentral:rRNA from 1 species
GGUUGCGAUCAUACCAGCACUAAUGCACUGGAUCCCAUCAGAACUCCGCAGUUAAGCGUGCUUGGGCGAGAGUAGUACUGGGAUGGGUGACCCCUGGGAAGUCCUCGUGUUGCAACCC